GAAGUAGUAAGUUUUUGUAAUUGUUGCCCUGUGUCUACGUUUGUGUCUGUGUAUAUGGAUUCCCCAGCAGUACAGUUGUGUUAAACUUAGAAAUAAAGUAGUAUGUACAGCAAAGAUUAUGUAAUAUUAAAAAAAAAUAUUACCUCUGUCUACAACGGGAACGAAUCUAACUGAACCCUACAGACUAAUUCCAUGCAGCCUGAGCAAUACUGGGUUUAAAGGUGUAAAAAUAUCUGUCCGAUUAUUCAAUGCAAUGCGAGUCACUGAAUAUAUUGACUUCAUCUGAAGAUAUUGACUUCAUCUGAAGACUACCUUAAACUGAGGUUUUUUACAAGCAAAGAACUAACUUUGUUAAAGACGGCUGCAAACACGUCUUGAUGAUUGUUGAUAUCAAUUCCUUCAACGC